rnacentral:rRNA from 1 species
GGGUUCUACGGUCGGUCGGACUAUGUCUGUACUGGCGUGUAGAAUUUCUACCUUCUGGGGAACCAUCAUGUUAUUAAUUUAGCGUGGUGGGAAACCAGAACUUUUACCUUGAAAAAAUUAGAGUGUUCAAAGCAGGCUUACGUCUGAAUACAUUAGCAUGGAAUAAUAGAAUAGGACGGUGGUCCUGUUUUGUUGGUUUCUGAAUCACCGUA